rnacentral:rRNA from 1 species
GCAGUCGCGGCAGCAUGAUCUAGCUUGCUAGAUUGAUGGCGAGUGGCGAACGGGUGAGUAAUACAUCGGAACGUGCCCUGUAGUGGGGGAUAACUAGUCGAAAGAUUAGCUAAUACCGCAACGACCUGAGGGUGAAAGUGGGGGACCGCAAGGCCUCAUGCUAUAGGAGCGGCCGAUGUCUGAUUAGCUAGUUGGUGGGGUAAAGGCCCACCAAGGCGACGAUCAGUAGCUGGUCUGAGAGGACGAUCAGCCACACUGGGACUGAGACACGGCCCAGACUCCUACGGGAGGCAGCAGUGGGGAAUUUUGGACAAUGGGCGAAAGCCUGAUCCAGCAAUGCCGCGUGUGUGAAGAAGGCCUUCGGGUUGUAAAGCACUUUUGUCCGGAAAGAAAUGGCUCUGGUUAAUACCUGGGGUCGAUGACGGUACCGGAAGAAUAAGGACCGGCUAACUACGUGCCAGCAGCCGCGGUAAUACGUAGGGUCCAAGCGUUAAUCGGAAUUACUGGGCGUAAAGCGUGCGCAGGCGGUUGUGCAAGACCGAUGUGAAAUCCCCGAGCUUAACUUGGGAAUUGCAUUGGUGACUGCACGGCUAGAGUGUGUCAGAGGGGGGUAGAAUUCCACGUGUAGCAGUGAAAUGCGUAGAGAUGUGGAGGAAUACCGAUGGCGAAGGCAGCCCCCUGGGAUAACACUGACGCUCAUGCACGAAAGCGUGGGGAGCAAACAGGAUUAGAUACCCUGGUAGUCCACGCCCUAAACGAUGUCAACUAGUUGUUGGGGAUUCAUUUCCUUAGUAACGUACUACGCGUGAAGUUGACCGCCUGGGGAGUACGGUCGCAAGAUUAAAACUCAAAGGAAUUGACGGGGACCGCACAAGCGGUGAGAUGUGGUAAUUCGAUGCAACGCAAACUUACCUACCUGACUGCCUACGAACAAAGCAUGGUCAAAAAACCUGCAGGUCGCCUCGCGGUGGAUCCAAUUACAGUCAGGCCGAAU